GGGGAAUAUUGCACAAUGGGCGCAAGCCUGAUGCAGCCAUGCCGCGUGUAUGAAGAAGGCCUUCGGGUUGUAAAGUACUUUCAGUGGGGAGGAAGGCGAUGAAGUUAAUAACUUCGUCGAUUGACGUUACCCGCAGAAGAAGCACCGGCUAACUCCGUGCCAGCAGCCGCGGUAAUACGGAGGGUGCAAGCGUUAAUCGGAAUUACUGGGCGUAAAGCGCACGCAGGCGGUCUGUCAAGUCGGAUGUGAAAUCCCCGGGCUCAACCUGGGAACUGCAUUCGAAACUGGCAGGCUAGAGUCUUGUAGAGGGGGGUAGAAUUCCAGGUGUAGCGGUGAAAUGCGUAGAGAUCUGGAGGAAUACCGGUGGCGAAGGCGGCCCCCUGGACAAAGACUGACGCUCAGGUGCGAAAGCGUGGGGAGCAAAC
rnacentral:rRNA from 1 species